GCACCGUUUUUCACAGUUCGUGAACAAUGAAAAGACGGUAAUACCCUCGGGUUUUCUUAGCUUUGCCCUCAUGUGUGCAGUCAAUUGCCGGUUUUACCCAUUGAUCCCAAGGGUUCUGUGUCGUUUCUUUCUCUCUUUCCAUUCAUCUCUUUCACUUUACCUUUCAGCUCUCCAUUUUUUGCUUUCCUCAACUGGGUUUUCCUUCGUCGUCGGUGUGCGCUCUGAUUUCUCUCAAUUUAUUCCUUUUCGUUUUGCGAAAUUAUGUCCGGCGAGACAUGAUCUUUGAUUUUUGCAACCAUUGUUGGCCGUUAUUCUCUGUUUUUGGCUGCCAUCCGUAGUUUGGAUCGAUUUCGUCUUUUUCACCGUUUUGUUUCAAGCCUCUCUUUUGAGAGAAUUUUUACGUAUUAAGGUUAGUGAUUUCUAAACUUAAGUUUUGCUUUGCAGUUUGAUUUCAUUUUUGGUUGUCUUGCCCAAAUGUUAGAAGCUUUUAAUUUUUUUGGGUUCAAUUUUAAAUGGGUUGUUGCUUUCGGAGUUUUCGUUUGAUGACAGAGAUGGGGGUUUUUGGGGAAAAACUUUUAAUCCGUGAGUUUUAGUUAAGUUGUGUUGUGGGUCCUGACAAAUGGAUUUUUUGUUGAAAUUGUUUUUCUUCUCAUUUUUGGUUUUUUUUAUUUUUUUUAUUUUUAUUUUUUUGUGCCAUCGGGUUUUUGCAUGUGGGUGUAUAAUCAGGUUUUCUUCUGAAUUUCAGGGGAUUCAGGUUUUUAUUUUUUUUGGAACUUUUGUAUGCAGCUUUGGAAGACAUUUACGCUUAAGGUGAGAAACUUUGGUUGCCCGCUUUUGGGUUUUGUUGUAGAAUUAAGUUUUUUUUUAUUUUUUAAAGAGUUACAUUCGUGGGAAUUCAUUUAUUCUUCUUUUUUUCUGCAUCUGGAAAAUGCAACCUGAUGUGAGUUAUAGUCAUAAGUGCAAACAAGAAAAAGUUAUAGUCUUAAGUGCAAGAAAUAUAAAGCCAAAAGAACCUAGCAACAAUAUCAUACCUUAUUUUUCAAUUUACUUAUAAGGUUUCACAUUUUUGUAAAUAUCAAGAACAAAAACCUAGAACAGCCUCACAAUUUGGUGCACUGACUAGGAAAUUGACAGUUGGGUAUAGGUAUGGGUAGUUAAAAACUAUGAGACAUGAGAAUUAUUGUCAAAUGCAAGGACAGAAGGUCGUGUAUUUGCAAAGUUGAAGCGGCCCAAGGACCGAGUGGGUUUAAGGUUUAAUGCUCAGUAGUUGUUGUGCUUCUGCUGCUUUUUAGUUGUCGAGGAUAUGCAGGGAGAGCAAAUAAAAAGAUUGUAUUCACUGUGUUGACGCAUUAUUGAACAAGAGACCCAAAAGGAAGGACAUAUUCAAUCUCAAAGUCUGUCAGCUUUCGCUUCUUAAUUUUACAACAACAACAAAGCCUUUUCCCACUAAGUGGUUAUUAAUUUUGUUUGCUCUUCGAAAGUUGAAUGCAUGAGUUUUAUAAUUUUUUUGCGAUUAGUUUACCUGAGAUGGGUUUUGGGUAAUCAUGUAUUAUUUUCUGAUUUGGUUACAGGAUGCAAAUCAUUGCUUCUUUAGAAAAGAUUAAGGAAGGUGAGCAAUUUCAGAAAAAAAAAAUGCGAUUAUCAUUUUCUAGAGAUCAUGGCAUGCCCUUCCGUUAUUUUUUGGUAGAGAUAGGUGUAACGGGCAUCUCUU
rnacentral:lncRNA from 1 species